GAGCUCAGAUCAUGAGAUGCGAGUCUACCAAUGCUCCCAGCUGAUUAAAGCCUCUUCCUUCAUAAAACCAGUGUCCGAGAGGUUUUGUCUGCAACCAUUCCUGCUACAUUUCUUGGUUCCCUGACCUGGAAGCGAGGUGAUUAGUGGACAGUUGAGGCAGCCUCUUAGGCGGCUUAGGCCUGCCCUGUGGAGCAUCCCUGGGGAGGACUCCGGCGAGCUUAAGCAAAGCAGAUCCUGGGAGCACUCUCGCGUAGGCAAUUGCCCUGGUCAAAUGCCUUGCCACAGCAGUGUGCGGCAGACCCCCGUGGAGAAUUAACACAGCGGUUGAACACCGGGAAGGAAUCGGCGAUUGGAGUCUGGACAUCUGGAACAUGGUGAUCGAGUGUGGAUCAAAGACUGGAACAUAGCCCCUUUGUGGCCACGGUGGAAAGGAUGCCAGACCAUCAUCCUGACCACUCCCACCACCAUGAAGGUAGAAGGAAUUCCGGCCUGGAUCCACCACAGCCACGUGAAACCCACAGCACCUGAGACCUGGGAGGUGAGACCAAGCCCGGACAAUCCCUACAAAGUGACUCUGAAAAAGACAACAAGCCCUGCUCCAGUCACACCUGGAAGCUGACUGGUCUAUGCACAGCCAAAGCAUAAGGAAACUCAUCGUGGGACUCAUUUUUCUCAAAAUUUGGACUUGUUCAAUAAGAACUUCAGCUGAUUUUCCCCACAUGGAGGACUGUACCCAGUGUAUUCAUCAGGUUACAGAGGUAGGGCAACAAGUUAAAAUAACCUUUCUGUUUUAUAGUUAUUAUGAAUGUCUAGGAAUUUUGAAAGGGAUCUGCUUAUAUAAUGCCACUCAGUAUAAUGUGUGUAGCCCAGGGAAUGACCAACCUCAUGUGUCUUACAACCUGUCUGAGCCUCCUAUGACCACAGUUUUUGAAAUAAGAUUAAGAACUGAGGACUGGUGGGGACUCAUGAAAGAUACAAGUAAAGUAAUACCAGAACAGAAGAAAAAGGAGCUCCCAAACAAGUCACCUUAAGAUUUGAUGCCUGUGCAGUCAUUAAUAGUAACAAGCUAGGGAUGGGAUGUGGUUCUCUCAGUCGGGGUGAAAAAAAAAGCUAUAUAUGGCAGAAAAUAAGUACAUUUGUCAUGAAUUAGGACUAUAUGGUAUUAUUGAAUGUAGUUAUUGGUCCUAUGUCAUUUGGGCCACCUGGAAAAAGGAUGAAAAAGACCCUGUUUGCCUACAAAAAGGAAAAAGUAAUUCAUCUUGCACCUCCGGUAACUGUAACCCAUUAGAAUUAAUAAUUACUAACCCCCAGGAUCCCCACUGGAAGACAGGAGAAAAUGUAAACCUAGGAAUUGAUGGAACUGGGCUUGACCCCCGAGUCAACCUUUUAAUCCAAGGGGAGAUCCACAAGCGCUCCCCCAAACCAGUGUUCCAGACCUUUUAUGAUGAACUAAAUGUGCCAAUACCAGAACUGCCAGGGAAGACAAAAGAUUUGUUCCUGCAGUUAGCAGAAAAUAUAGCCCAUUCCCUCAACAUUACUUCCUGUUAUGUAUGCAGGGGAACUACUAUGGGAGACCAAUGGCCUUGGGAGGCCCGAGAAUUAGUGCCCAUGGAUCCAGUUCCUGAUAUAAUUCCAGUCCAGAAGGCCCACACUGGUAACUUUUGGGUCUUAAAAACCUCAAUUAUUGGGCAAUACUGCUUAGCUAGAGAAGGAAAAGACUUCACCAUCCCCGUAGGAAGCUCAAUUGCCUAGGGCAAAAGCUGUAUAACGGCACAAGAAGAACAGUCACCUGGUGGGGUCUAAACCAUAUUGAGAAGAACCCAUUUAGUAAGUUUACUAAGUUGCAAACUGUUUGGGCCCAUCCAGAGUCUCACCAGGACUGGACGGCUCCAGCUAGACUAUACUGGAUAUGUGGACAUAGAGCCUAUGCCAAGCUACCUGAUCAAUGGGCAGGCAGUUGUGUCAUUGGCACCAUUAAGCCAUCCUUUUUCCUGCUGCCCAUAAAAACAGGUGAUGAGCUCCUAGGCUUCCCUGUCUAUGCUUCCUGAGAAAACAGAAGCAUAGCCAUAGGCAAUUGGAAAGAUGAUGAGUGGUCCCGUGAAAGAAUCAUAUAGUACUAUGGGCCUGCCAACUGGGCACAAGAUGGUUCGUGGGGAUACCAAACCCCCAUUUACAUGCUCAACUGGAUUAUAUGGUUCCAAGCUGUCUUAGAAAUAAUCACUAAUGAAACUGGCAGAACUUUGACUGUUAGCCCGGCAAGAAACCCAGAUAAGAAAUGCUAUUUAUCAAAAUAGAUUGGCCCUAGACUACUUGCUAGCAGUGGAAAGAGGGGUCUGUGGAAAAUUCAACCUGACCAAUUGCUGUCUGCAUAUAGAUGACCAAGGCCAAGUAGUCGAAAACAUCGUCAGAGACAUGACAAAGCUAGCACAUAUGCCUGUGCAGGUUUGGCAUGGAUUUGAUCCUGGGUCUGUAUUUGGAAAAUGGUUCCCAGCAUUAGGAUUUAAAACUCUUAUAAUAGGAGUAAUAACAGUAUUAGGAACCUGCUUGUUGCUCCCCUGCUUGCUGCCUUUGCUCCUUCAAAUAAUGAGAAGCUUUGUCACUACUUUAAUUCACCAAAAUAGUUCAGCACAAGUGUAUUACAUGAAUCACUAUCGGUCUGUCUCGCAAAAAGACCUAGAUAGUGAGGAUGAAAGUGAAAAUUCCCACUAAUAAGUGAGAUUCUAAAAGGGGGGAAUAAGGAAGGAGACCACCUCUCCCAUUGUCUCCUGUUUCAUGAGAAAGCAAAAAGUUAAAAAAAGAAGCAGAAGUGAGAUCAAUGGCCAGAUGGUUUAGUGCCAAGAACCAGGCCUGGUAGUUAAACAUCAACUCCUGACCUAACCGCUUGUGCUAUCCAUAGAUUCCAGAUAUUGUAUGAGGAAGACUUGUGAAACUUUCUGUUCUGUUCUGCUAGCCCCCAUCACUGAUGCAUGUAGCUCUCAGUCAUGUAGCCCCCACUUGCACAAUGUAUCAUGACCCUUUCACGUGGACCCCUCAGAGUUGUAAGCUCUUAAAAGGGACAGGAAUCUUUACUUUGGGGAGCUCGGAUCUUGAGACGCGAGUCUACCAAUGCUCCCAGCUGAUUAAAGCCUCUUCCUUCAUAGAACCGGUGUCUAAGAGGUUUUGUCUGUGACUGUUCCUGCUACACCUUCAGGUACUAAAAGCCAUCAAUGACAAACCCACAGCCAACAUUAUACUGAACAGGGAAAAGUUGAAAACAUUCCCCCUGAGAACUGGAAUAAGACAAUGAUGCCCACUUUCACCACUUCUAUUCAUUACAGUAAUG
ensembl:lncRNA novel transcript